rnacentral:rRNA from 1 species
UGAGGAAUAUUGGUCAAUGGGCGAGAGCCUGAACCAGCCAAGUCGCGUGCAGGAUGACUGCCUUAUGGGUUGUAAACUGCUUUUAUACAGGAAUAACGGGUCACACGUGUGUGAUUAUGAAUGUACUGUAAGAAUAAGGAUCGGCUAACUCCGUGCCAGCAGCCGCGGUAAUACGGAGGAUCCAAGCGUUAUCCGGAUUUAUUGGGUUUAAAGGGUGCGUAGGCGGUUUCUUAAGUCAGUGGUGAAAGUUUGCAGCUCAACUGUAAAAUUGCCAUUGAAACUGGGAGACUUGAAUACGGUAGAGGUAAGCGGAAUGCGUGGUGUAGCGGUGAAAUGCAUAGAUAUCACGCAGAACCCCGAUUGCGAAGGCAGCUUACUGGACCGUUAUUGACGCUGAGGC